rnacentral:tRNA from 1 species
GGAAAGUGAGGCUUUGAACGGUCUCUUAAUCCGUAGGUCCAAAGUUCGAAUCUGUGACGCUCCACCA